rnacentral:rRNA from 1 species
GGGGAAUAUUGCACAAUGGACGAAAGUCUGAUGCAGCAACGCCGCGUGGAGGAUGACACAUUUCGGUGCGUAAACUCCUUUUAUAUAGGAAGAUAAUGACGGUACUAUAUGAAUAAGCACCGGCUAACUCCGUGCCAGCAGCCGCGGUAAUACGGAGGGUGCAAGCGUUACUCGGAAUCACUGGGCGUAAAGAGCGUGUAGGCGGGUAUAUAAGUCAGAAGUGAAAUCCAAUAGCUUAACUAUUGAACUGCUUUUGAAACUGUAUACCUAGAAUGUGGGAGAGGUAGAUGGAAUUUCUGGUGUAGGGGUAAAAUCCGUAGAGAUCAGAAGGAAUACCGAUUGCGAAGGCGAUCUACUGGAACAUUAUUGACGCUGAGACGCGAAAGCGUGGGGAGCAAACA